ensembl:lncRNA
GGCUUACCUUUUCAUCACUUGAAGACCAGUGGUUACGUGAUUUGGACCCACCGAGGGACGUAGAAUGAUACCAGUUCAAAAGUAUCGGAUACCUGUGGAGCACUUUGCAAGAUAUUGCGGGAUUUUCGGGGCUUUCUAUAGAACUACACAGAAGUAUUGCUGAGUACUUAGCAAUGUGAAUUCCUGCAAUUUGCAGGAAUUUGCCAUGCUUUUCAGGUGAUCAUCCUAGGUUAAAGCAUUGAAGAAAGAAAGCUGUUAAAAGAUGGCUACUGGGAGGCUCCCACUUCAAUGUCUGUCUUGUGUGGCUUCCCUUCCGAGGCUGUGGUGGGAGUUUGUUUUGUAUCGCUCUCCAAUCACAAUGGAGUUAAUUUGCACCAAUUUCAUUUUUGUGCGUGCUCCUCAAUGUUUUCCCUUUCUGCUGGAUUUUUUUUUUAAAUAACAUUUUGGCAGGGCUUGGUCCUUUGAUGAUCCUUUUGAGCAAAUGGUUUGCCCAAAGUUCAGAUGGUGCUAGCUCCGUCUUCUUUUUCAUUUACAACAUCAAGAGGAUUACAGAGAAUAACUUUGUUGCCCAACAUCAAUGAUAUAUCUUCAGGCUACUAGAAAGCUCUAUGGCCAUGCUGAAGCUGGAAAUCACCACCUUCCUGUCUCAUUGCACCCUCCCCCUGCCCGCCGCAUCCAGACCACCUGGAAUGAUCUAGAGAGGCUUCUCCAGAUCAGGAGGAAGCCACAGGGUGAGCUCUCCCGGUGUCAGCAAGGUCUGACUUUAAGUACUAUAUGCUCAGCACCAGGAUGUUGGCAGCUUCAGUGGGCUGCCACAAGCCCUUCACAAAUACCACCCAAAGUUCUAGACAGCUGUGACUCCGUCUGGGUGGGGAAGAAGUGAGAAAAAAUGUGCCAGACCAUAAGCAAGCUGGACAAAAGAUGAGCUGGGAGACAGAGAGAGAGAAAGAGCAAACAUUUCCCUAGUGCCUUUUCCUCUCUGGGAAAUUUCACUUAUCAUUUGGGCAAAUAUAUAUUCUAAGGACAAUCUUUUGAAAAGCAUGAUGUUUGUGGAGCGGAAGGAACCAGAGGCAGAUGGCAUGAGGCAAGGGACUGCCUGUGAGGUGAGGGGUUACCUGUAACCCUCCUAAUCAAUCAGGUAAUAUUAUUCCAUUUUAUAGAUGAAGGAGCUGAGGCAUAUGCUGCCUUGCACUGGGAGUUUGCUAAGACUUGCUGUAAGCUCUAAGACCCCUUUCAUGCCUUGCCAAAGAUCUUACAUACUCUCCUAGUCUGUGUUGAAUUUGUGAUUAACAGUUUUAGGGGCUGGCGCUGUGGUAUAGUGGGUAAAGCUGCCGCCUGUAGUGCCAGCAUCCCAUGUAGGCACUGGUUCAAAUCCUGGCAGCUUCUCUUCCAAUCCAGCUCUCUGCCAUGGCCUGGGAAAUCAGUAGAAGGUGACCCAUUCCUUGGGUCCCUGCACCCACAUGGGAGACCCAGAAGAAGCUCCUGGCUCCUGGCAUCAGGUCGGCGCAACUCCAGCCAUUGCAGCCAAUUAGGAGUGAACCAGUGGAUCGAAGACCUCUCUCUUUUUGCCUUUCCUUCUCUCUGUGUGUAAUUCUGGCUUUCAAAUAAAAAAUAAAUCUUUAAAGAAAACA